rnacentral:rRNA from 1 species
UGGGGAAUCUUGCACAAUGGGCGAAAGCCUGAUGCAGCGACGCCGCGUGCGGGAUGAAGGCCUUCGGGUUGUAAACCGCUUUCAGCAGGGACGAGGCCGCAAGGUGACGGUACCUGUAGAACAAGCCACGGCUAACUACGUGCCAGCAGCCGCGGUAAUACGUAGGUGGCGAGCGUUAUCCGGAUUUACUGGGCGUAAAGGGCGUGUAGGCGGCUAGAUAAGUGUGAUGUUUAAAUCCAAGGCUUAACCUUGGGGUUCAUUACAAACUGUUUAGCUUGAGUGCUGGAGAGGAUAGUGGAAUUCCUAGUGUAGCGGUAAAAUGCGUAGAUAUUAGGAGGAACACCGGUGGCGAAGGCGGCUAUCUGGACAGUAACUGACGCUGAGGCGCGAAAGCGUGGGGAGCAAACAGG